AUUUUUGAGCGGGGGACAACAUUUGGAAACGAAUGCUAAUACCGCAUAACAACUUUAAACACAAGUUUUAAGUUUGAAAGAUGCAAUUCGCAUCACUCAAAGAUGAUCCCGCGUUGUAUUAGCUAGUUGGUGAGGUAAAGGCUCACCAAGGCGAUGAUACAUAGCCGACCUGAGAGGGUGAUCGGCCACAUUGGGACUGAGACACGGCCCAAACUCCUACGGGAGGCAGCAGUAGGGAAUCUUCGGCAAUGGACGAAAGUCUGACCGAGCAACGCCGCGUGAGUGAAGAAGGUUUUCGGAUCGUAAAACUCUGUUGGUAGAGAAGAACGUUGGUGAGAGUGGAAAGCUCAUCAAGUGACGGUAACUACCCAGAAAGGGACGGCUAACUACGUGCCAGCAGCCGCGGUAAUACGUAGGUCCCGAGCGUUGUCCGGAUUUAUUGGGCGUAAAGCGAGCGCAGGUGGUUUAUUAAGUCUGGUGUAAAAGGUAGUGGCUCAACCAUUGUAUGCAUUGGAAACUGGUAGACUUGAGUGCAGGAGAGGAGAGUGGAAUUCCAUGUGUAGCGGUGAAAUGCGUAGAUAUAUGGAGGAACACCGGUGGCGAAAGCGGCUCUCUGGCCUGUAACUGACACUGAGGCUCGAAAGCGUGGGGAGCAAACAGGAUUAGAUACCCUGGUAGUCCACGCCGUAAACGAUGAGUGCUAGAUGUAGGGAGCUAUAAGUUCUCUGUAUCGCAGCUAACGCAAU
rnacentral:rRNA from 1 species